ensembl:lncRNA
AUGAGAACGCUACUGGACAGCAGCUGGAUAAAGUUUGGGCCAGCCGGCAGAGGGUCCAUUGAUUGGGUGACUGGGUCACCUUCUCCCCCAAUGGUGGAGAGACAGUUACAGGGCGACAACUGGAAUGAGCUGAACCUCGAGCAGGAAGGGAGGUCAGGGCUGCUCCUCUACGUGGUCCUCCCCGUCGCCUCCCUCCUCAUGCUGGGCCUCCUGGUACUCCUGGCUUACUGGAGGUGCUCCCCUCCAAAGCUCAGCCUGGACCUCCAGGACCCCGAGAGCAGCGCGGAGUUUCUCUCCUCGCUCACCGGCCACGGCGAACGCCGCACCAGCACCAGCUCUGACAUGUCGGACAGCAUGUUCGUCAUGGUCUACCUGCCGCCGCCCUACGAGGAGACGCUGACCAAGAUCACACGCGCCACCAGUCUGACCAGUCGGAAAGAGUCCAUGAACAUAGAGGACCUGGAGGCCCGGCUGUGUCCGGAGAUCAAGUCCAGUGGACGCUACGUGUGACUGGGGAACACUGGGACUGUCUCUCAAAUGGCCCCCUAUUCCCAAAAGCCCACAAAGGGCUCUGAUUAAAAGAAGUGCACUAUGUAGGGAGUAGGGUAUAUGGUAUCAUUUCAGACUAGAACUAAGAGAUUGCUUUUGAAAGGACUCCAUAUACCAAGCUCUUUAGAAUAAGGGGAAUUCAGUGGACUAUUUAAAAACAUCAGACCUGAGUUAGUCUUUUGUGGGUACCAGCUUUCUACACAGAGGAGUGUGCAGUUGCGUGAAAGCUGGAAAUUGCCUUGACUGGCUGUCCAGGAUACAGUACAUCUAGAUUCUCUAGAGAGGACAGACGCUGACUAUGUACAAACCGUAGGUCACAGUAGGCAAAUAAAUAUCCUUCAAUUAUACAAAAAAUAAUAUACAAUUCAUUUGCGUUGUUUUUAUCUCCUAAAUGAAACACGUGAUCCUCCAUUUUUACUUCCACACAUUGUAUGAGCCAUACCAUGCUUUCAACCCUCCUGUACCUGUGUUGAUUUACAGUUUGUUCCCUAUUUGGAGACUUAAGAAUGUCAAUGUGCAAAGUGCAAGAAUGUUACAGAAGUCUUGUAUUGUACUGUAUGUUAUUUGAAUUGUAUUUAUAUGUAAGAAGGUACAAAGACCUAGCCUGGGCACCAUGUGUUUGACAGAAGGGACAAGGAGCGGAAUGUUAGUUAGACGGGUACCCAGACUUACAAAGACCUAGUCCAGGUUAAUAAUUCCCUUCAUUCCUUGGCAUCACAUCAUGAAUGUACUCCUAAAAACCUCAGACCUGGUACGUUUUAUAGACUACAUAACCUAUAUUCAUUCUAAUUGACAAGUAAUAUGUUUGUACAAAGUGUUAUAUUGUUUUUAAAUAAAGAAUAAGAAAAAUAUCUUAGCAUGUUAUGAUUGAGAGACUUCCGUCAUGAUCACUGAUGCACCGAGGUUGCAAAGUUUAAUCCCAUGCUGCCCCACUGUGAUACAUCUUGGUCAUAUCAUGUAGACUACUGAAUGUAGAGGUGAGCUCUCCUUUCCAAACACCCGCCUUACAUGACAGCUAUGGUCUUGCUGCGUUUCUGAGCAAGAUUUCAAACACUUCUUGACAAUGUCCAGGGGUCCAACUAGAUUUAUUUUUCUUACGGCCAAACAAUCUUCAGAAGCAGCUACAGCAUUUCAUAUUCUACUCUUUGUACCAUUUAUUCUUGUAAAUGAUCCGUUUCAGAUAGACUAUUGAUGGAAGCGUUUUUAUUUCAAGUAUAUUUAUUCACCAAAUGUUCACUGUUGUUAAUUAACCGAUUCAUUUGAAUCGUCUACUGUAUAAAUUAUUCCAAAAGCCCAAAAUUCAAAACAUACUGUAUUUUCAGCACAGUAAAUGUGUUUAUCUAAUCAAAAACAACAACUGAAAACACAGAUUAUCAGGCUACACCAUAAAACAAUACAAUGGAUGGUUAUUGGUUACAUUGAGCAUCAGGCUCCUCUAUAUGGAAUGUAAAAUAUAUAUAUCAGAAAUAAAGUCAUAAAAGACAUGUCUUUAGAAAACAAAGUCACGCAAAAUACUUCAAAUAAAGUGUUUAUUUUUCCAAUAAAAGUUCACAGAGAUAAUUGUUUGGUGCCAAAACAUAGCCUCUGGUAAAAUAUAAAUAAACAUCCUGUAUCCCAAAAUGGAAAAUAACACAUACUAUUAGACAGGCAACAUAUGUUGUCUGUUUGGGAUCUGAGGUAGGCCUUGUUGUUAUAUCUGUCUCUGUGUAAAUGUGUGUGUGUCCAUACGCUUGGUUUGUGUGGAUGUGAUUUCUAGUAUCCGCGCCUGCGACAAUCCUCCAUCCACAAUUCUUUCGCUGUUUUUUUUCUUACGGCCAAACAAACCCGAGAACCAGCCGCAACCCUUCUUCUCCUUCUUCUUCUUUUUAUUAUUUUCCUCCUCCAUCAUUGCCAUCCAUCCCGUCUUCCAGAAGGGUUCGGGUUCCUGUGAACAAACAGAGUUGGUGAGUGGAAACUACAGGCACCUUAAUUGGGGAGGACGGGCUCAUAGUAAUGGCUGGAAUGGUGUUAAUGGAAUGGUAUCGAACACAUCAAACACAAAGUUUCCAUGUGUUUGUUGCCAUUCCAGUUACUCCAUUCCAAACAUAAUGAUUAGCCCUCCUCCCCUCCUGUAGUGGAUACAAACCUCAGGAAGCCAUCACCAUCAGCAACCUUUCAAUGCUGAAGCUCCAGCUCAGUACGGGACAAACAACAUUCAAAUUGACUGAUAUUAUCAAUGAGACAAUACAGAAAACAGUGUAGCUUACCUUCUCAAGUGGGGUGAGGAGUUCCUUCAUUAUGUCAGCGCUGGCUUUCUCAAUGCAAAGCUCCAGCUUGGUCUUUUCUACAGGAAAGGGAAAUGUGACAAGAUAGGACAUUUGAACGGAAGGGAGGAGUUCAAGUUGUUAUUGUCCAACUGGUUAGUUGACUGUUACAUGUAGCCGUUUACUCUACAUCGGAUUCUGUUGUGAAAUUGUGAAUGAAAGAACAUUGUGGAAUACAAGUCAUUUACAAGAGACUAGGCCUGAUUCUGAAUGUACAACACCAACAGUAGCAUUGUUCUACCUGUAUCAUCCGGGGUUCUGGUCUCUCUCUUGACCGGGAUGUUGAUGCAGUAUGGCCGGUCAUCACCCUUCUUGGUGUCCUUGGCGAAGGUCACGGUAGGCCUCAGGUGAACCAUGAUCUCCCUGACCAUGAUAUCGCAGACCAGCAGAGGCUGUAUUUCUGGGUAUAGCUGGGCUUUAACCAUUGGCCACUCAUGGAAAGUCCUGAGGUAAUUGCUCCUGAUAGAGAGUGAGACGUCUUCUAAGAAUUUGGCCAUCUUGUCCGGCUCAUCGUUGAGCUUCCUCAGAGUGCGUAAGAACAGUCUUUGGUUUUGGUAUUUCAAUGCCUCUUUCUGAACCUGGAUAUGUAUGUGCUCUACCAUAACAUUGCAAAGUGGAACAUCUUCCCAUGAACCGUAUUGCUGCUUGAUUGCACAUGAAACUGGGAAGACAGAGUCAAAGGCUUUCCUGACAAGAAUAACAGGAACAAUAUCAAGGUUUGUCACCUUUGGUUUGUUCCUCUCAGUCUCCGUCUGAGUCUGUUCUUGCACAGGCUUUCCACAGUCCUUUGUGGUUGACUCGAAAACAACAGUCUGUGGAAAUUCUUUCGCUGUUUUUCUCUUACGGCCAAACCCACCCCAGAACCAGCCGCAACCCCUCUUCUUCACCUUCUUCUUUUUAUUAUUUUCCUCCUUCAUCAUUGCCAUCGAUCCCGUCUUCCAGAAGGGUUCGGGUUCCUGUGAACAAACAUAGUUGGUGAGUGGAAACUACAGGCACCUUAAUUGGGGAGGACAGGCUCAUAGUAAUGGCUGGAAUGGUGUUAAUGGAAUGGUAUCGAACACAUCAAACACACAGUUUCCAUGUGUUUGAUGCCAUUCCAGUUACUCCAUUCCAAACAUAAUUAUUAGCCCUCCUCCCCUCCUGUAGUGGAAACAAACCUCAGGAAGCCAUCACCAUCAGCAACCAUUCAAUGAUGAAGCUGCAGCUCAGUACGGGACAGACAACAUUCAAAUUGACUGAUAUUAUCAAUGAGACAAUACAGAAAACAGUGUAGCUUACCUUCUCAAGUGGGGUGAGGAGCUUAUUCAUUCUGUCAGCGCUGGCUUUCUCAAUGCAAAGCUCCAGCUUGGUCUUGUCUAGGGGAAAUGGAAAUGUGAGAAGAUAGUACAUUUGAAAGGAAGGGAGGAGUUCAAAUUGUUAUUGUCCAACUGGUUAGCUAACUGUUACUGUAGCAGUAGACUCUACAUCGGAUUUUGUUGUGAAAUUGUGAAUGAAAGAACAUUGUGGAAUACCAGUCAUUUACAAGAUACUAGGCCUGAUUCUGAAUGUACAACACCAACAGUAGCAUUGUUCUACCUGUAUCAUCCGGGGUUCUGGUCUCUCUCUUGACCGGGAUGUUGAUGCAGUAUGGCCGGUCAUCACCCUUCUUGGUGUCCUUGGCGAAGGUCAAGGUAGGCCUCAGGUGAGCCAUGAUCUCUCUGACCAUGAUAUCGCAGACUAGCAGAGACUGUAUUUCUGGGUAUAGCUGGGCUUUAACCAUUGGCCAGUCAUGGAAAGUCCUGAAGUACUUGCUCUUGAUAGAGAAUGAGACGUCUUCUAAGAAUUUGGCCAUCUUGUCCGUCUCAUCGUUGAGCUUCCUCAGAGUGUGUAAGAACAGUCUUUGGUUUUGGUAUUUCAAUGCCUCUUUCUGAACCUGGAUAUGUAGGUGCUCUACCAUAUCAUUGCAAAGUGAGACGUCUUCCCAUGAACCGUAUUGCUGCUUGAUUGUACAUGAAUCUGCAAAAACAGAGUCAAAGACUUUCCUGACAAGAAUAACAGGAACAAUAUCAAGGUUUGUCAUCUUUGGUUUGUUCCUCUCGGUCUCCGUCCGAGCCGGUUCUUGCACAGGCUUUCCACAGUCC